CACAAUGUUCCUUCCCUCCUGAUCUUAUUCAGUCUUUCCCAAGAAACUAGAUUUGAGAAUUUCUCUGUUUCUUGGUGUUUGAUUUUCUUGUGGUAUGCGUUUUGGUGUUAGUACUUCUCCUCGUUGAAGGAGUUAAAAUGCUCGUAGAAGCUUAAGUGUGUUUGUGAAUUCCUUUUUGUUCUGCAUUUUUUAA